CCCCUCUGCUCCCUGUGAGGAGCUGCAGCCGCCAUGAGGCCUCCCCUCAGCUCCUCUGCUCUGGGCUGAGCAAACCAAGGAAUCUCUGCCACCUCUCGUAAGUCUUGCCCUCCAGACCCUUCACCAUCUUCUUAAGUUUUUCUAGUUCUGUGAGAAUUAUGGGGAGUCAUCACCCUGCGGGACACAUUCUGCUAAAACAACCCCAUGCUGGUGCACAACCACAAACAGCACAGGAAAUUAAUGGAAUGACUUCAUUGGUAAAAACGCACAUUAACUAAUCAGAAAGAUGACAACCUGUCACUACACAAAGCUUUCUGUCAUAUAUUCUGAAACAUAAGAAUUAGCAACAUGCAAACUCAGCAUGUCUUGUCACAAGAAGGAAAGUCCUGUUGUCUCAUGUUAAAUGGAAGCAGACAAUUGCAGCCCAUUGUGUAGAGCCUUUGACUCUUUCAGACAGAGUGUUACCCCAGCACACACACUAAGUCAAAACACAGUGAGCCCAACCCUGGUUAUAAGGACAAGGAUAAGCUCUGAAUUGAAAUGGCAUUAUGAAGUACACUUGUCAGCUUUCAGUAAGAAAAUAUUUCAGAUUAUUAGUAUAGUAUAUUAUUUGUAAUUGAUGUUAAGUCCUGAAAUCUUGGUAUUUCAAGAAAAGUACCUCAACUAUUUUACGGUCAGGAAACCUAUUAGGUUUUUCUGAAGUUGAUAUCUUCAACUACGUAUGCUGAAGGUUGAGCAAUGAAUCAUUUGAAUAUGAGAUAUUUUCAGGCCUAAUUUUGAGACAAGUCAUAAAUGAAGACUCCCAGUUCCUCAUAUUUUUCUCCAGUACAGAACAUGAGAUGAUACGAAUGACAAUUCAGCAGUAAGUAACAAUUUCUUAUGUGACUUUUUGUUUGUUUGACAAGAUGGGAAUAAUUGAUUAAUAAACUCUCAUUUUUCUCUUUGAGUUUAGUAUUGCAAAGGAUUUAAAUCCUUUUGGGCCAAGGUUGUGACAAUAAAUAAUGUAAAGAUAAAGUAAGACAGACUUGAGCAUUCUAGGAGUGAUACAAUUGAAUAUCUUUCCUUUAGUAUUUGAUGCUUAACUUUAACCACUUUAAGUGAUGCUCUAAUGCAAUCAGCAUGAAGAAAAUUAUGAGGUCUGCUUGACGUCAUGGAUAUUUUUAAUCAAGCUCACAUGUGUCUAACAGACUCUUCUGUUGAUGCUGACAGAGUUCGGUUCUGGUGGUUGCUGGUCCAUACUGGGGACAUGGUGUAGACGUGCCAUCCGAGGCUAAGCUUAAGAUUUCUUUUUAACUUAGAGAUCCAUCUUAAGUAAUGUUACUGUUAACAAAGGUUACAAGUGGCAACUCCAGCUGUUUCAUUUUUUUGCUUCUUCCCUUUACUUAACUCUGGGAUAUCCCUCUCUGGGACAAGAAGGACCCUUUCUAGAUGCUCUCUCCUUCCACAUGCCCUCGCAGUGAUCACUCAGCCCUGCGAUCAGUGAGUGAAGAGUGAAACACUCUGCAUACCCCCUGCCCUCCCUGGGAGCUUGGUUCAAGCCAGCACAGUACUUGCACAGGUGAAAAGCUCCUUCCACAGCUGUCAGGCACACCAUGCAUCAAUGGGAAGGCCUGUUGUAUUCCAUUGCACAUAUUGCAAAGAAAUGAAAACUUGCUUGUAAAUGUCAAUAUUUCACAGUCCCCUCCAUACUACAGUCAUCAUAGUCAAUCAUUUAGUGCCCAGAAGGGAAACAAAACCUUCUUCAUUGGUUCUUACAUGCACACAAAUUUGUUUGCAACUCAUCUCGGUUUUUAAGGAGGUAAAACUGCAGGACACACUGCGUUUCUAUAGUUGGGAAGUUAUAUGUGUGGCUUAUUUCAGCAAUAAACAGGUCUAAAACUGGGCAAAAGGAAAAUCUGAGAGCACUGUUGUGUUGUCCAGUGCAUGCAGGCAACCUCCACCAAUGUGAGAUGAGGAAGAAAACUGGCAGGGUGACAAGGAACACAGGGAAGAAGAGAUCAGGUAACAUGCCAGAAGAAAUUGGAGUGAAGGUGAGAUCUGGGACAACAGGUAUUUCUGAAUUCCCUUAGAAAGAAUUACGUACAAUUUUAACUACGUACAUAACUGUGCACAUGUAUUUUACAGUUGUUGCUAUUAAAAAAAAAAGAUCCUUUAGGAGACAACUAUACAGCACCGCUUCUUCCUCUUCUGUGCUAGCCAAUGUAGAAGGUAAGUUGGAAUAGAAAAUAAAUGGCUGCGUAGUUUUGGGGAAGGGUAAGACUUCCUGAAAAUGCACAAAUGAGCUUAAAUAUAUGCAAAAAUGUAUUACAAUGCAAGACAAAAGUGUAGGAAAUAGUUUUAUCCUCCCUGUUGCUGGCUGAAGGCUUUUUCUUGCUUCAGAGCCAGAUGCUGGCAAUUCCUGCCUCUUCCUAAAACAGUUUCUUCUUAAAACAUCAACAAAGCCAACAAAACCAACCAAUCAAAUGAGAAAUAAUGUAUUUGAAGCACUGCUGACAAAAUUCAUACUGCUAAAAACAACAGCAUGGGUGAAAGGGUUAAAAGACAAGCACUGCUCCUAACCCUGCGCCAUGUUUCUCCAUGUAUACCUUUCUGAAAAUUAUGCAGUUUGAAGUCCUAAGCUUACCCAAAUUUCAGGGACUUCCAGACAAAGGUCUUGGCAGAGCACUCCAGCCCAGCCCAGCCCAGGCUGCUGGGGAGAGUGAGCAUUCAUUUAUAGUAACUGUUCAUAGGAAAGCCUGCAAUUUGAGUCGCUAUUUCCUCUUUUCUUCAAUGGGAAUGAAAAAGAAGAGUGGUGGGACCUGAAAGUAUCAUUGCCUGCUCUUUGCCAUGUCUCAGUGACCAUCAGCUGCGCUGCACUACCAUGCCCUUCCCAUGCAGGGCAGCCGCCCACCUGCAGCAGGAGAAAGGAACUGUUCAGUCAGCAGAAGAAGAGGCUUGGGGAGACCUCAUCACUCUCUACAACAGCCUGAAAGGAGGUUGUGGUGAGGUGGGGAUCAGCUUCUUCUCCCAGGUAACAGCGACAGGAUGAGAAGUAAUGGCCUUAAAUUGCACCAGAGGAGGUUUGGGUUGGAUAUCAGGAAAAAUGUAUUCUCAGAAAGAGUGGUGAAGCCUUGGAACAGGCUGCCCAGGGAGGUGGUGGUUGAACAACUGAAGGUGUUCAAUAAUCGUGUAGAUGAGGCAUGUGGGAACACAGUGGCCAUGGUGGGGAUGGGUUGGUGGUUGGACUAGAUGAUCUUAGAGGUCUUUUCCAACCUUACUGAUUCUAUGGAAAACAUUAAAUCCUGAAAGUUAUGUGUACUGAGGACUGUUAAAUACUUGGACAACUCAGGAAUCAUGGAGUUACAAACUGCACAGGAAUCAAAGAUUGUGCUGCAGAAGAGUCAGCAGGCACUUGGCCAGCUCCAUACCUGCCUCUAAGCCACUCAACUGUUAACUGCUCACGAUGUGGCUUUUGCUUUGUCCCAAUGGAGAUGUUCUUAAGUUUAGGAGUUGGACUCAACAAUCUUUCUGGAUCCUUUCCAACUUAGGAUAUUCUAUGAUUUUACAAAAACAUGUUAUAUGCAUCUGACAUAAUGCGUUAUGUUUGCAUGUCAGAGGACAAGCAUAAAACGUGCUGGAUUUAGCAGGAAAACUGAAAGAGACAGCAGUGUGAAGACUGCCCUCCAGAAGCAAGCAGAUGUACGGUCUGUCCUCUGUAACACCAGCACAGUCCCAUGCAGGUCCAUAAGAAACAGAUGACAAUUUGGAUGUGCUACGGUGCUCAUUCCAGCUAAAUAAAACUGACAGUUGAGAAAGAGGAAACACAUAAGGCGAUGUGAUUUCUUCUCACUCAGCUGAACUGACAGUCCUGAGAAAUGUUAAUUACUGGGCCAGUAAUCAAAUGUCAUAAACAGUUACACUAGACUAGGAAAAAAAGACUUCUAAUGUCAUUCCAAAUGUGUGGUAGAUUUAAUUAUCUUCUCAGAGUUAUCUCAACAGAAGCAUGGGUUUCAAUACAGGGAUACAAAGACAUCUACUGCUUCAAUUCUAUGAUUGGAAAUAAGUCUAAAAGAUAAAAGAAAAGUUUAUGGGAAGACUUCACAAG